rnacentral:siRNA from 1 species
GUCGUUUCUUUUUGUUUGUGGU